CACGAAACCAGGCGAGCUACUGUUAAGCGUAUAUUAGUGCAGAAUAUGUGGCAUAAUAGAAGUAGACUUUACAAUAGGAGCGAAAGACUUUCAAGUCUGGUGAUAUCUUGUUAACUUCGAGAUGUAUUUAGUACAGUGUCAGUUUAUUAGUGAUAAGGCUAGUAAAAAAUAUAUAACUCGUUUACUCAUACCGACAUAGUUUAACCGCUGGUCUUCUUCUGAAUUCAAUAUUAUUGUCCACCAGUAGUAGAAACUAGAAGUUAGUACUUAACCAUAAUAGAUAUUUAUACUGUAAGUAUUAGUAGUUUAGGUAUCGCUGAUGAACUCGGCAACAUUUCUUUCACCUGUUUAUCAAAAACAUGGCCAGUAGGAGUUAUUAUUGGUCGAUUCUGCUCCAUGUAAAAAUAAAUAGCCGCAGUACCCUGACUGUGCAAAGGUAGCAUAAUCACUUGGCUUAUAAUUGAAGUCUGGCAUGAAAGAACGCAUGGGGGAAAGCUCUAUUGGUGGUAGAACAUGAAAUUACUUAGUAGGUGCAAAUACCUAUUGGUAAAUAAAAGACGAGAAGACCCUAGAAAUUUUGACAAUAUGAUAAUGCACGUUUUUGUUGGGGCAACAUGGUAGCAUUUAACCUACAUUAAUGACAUGACAUCGUAUAGUUAGAUUAAAUUACUCUAGGGAUAACAGCGUAAUUUUAUAAAGUUUGCGACCUCGAUGUUGGACUAGGAAGCAGAUACUAGAA
rnacentral:rRNA from 1 species